GAUGAAGAACGCAGCGAAAUGCGAUACUUGGUGUUAAUUGCAGAAUCCCGUGAACCAUCGAGUCUUUGAACGCAAGUUGCGCCCGAAGCCAUUAGGCCGAGGGCACGCCUGCCUGGGCGUCACACGUCGUUGCCCCCCCAUCUACUCCUUCGGGAUUGCGGGGGGCGGAUGAUGGCCUCCCGUGCGCCUCGCCGCGCGGUUGGCAUAAAUGCCAAGUCCUCGGCGACGCACGCCACGACAAUCGGUGGUUGCGAAACCUCGGUUGCCCGUCGUGUGCGGUCGUCGCGCAUCGAGGGCUCGAAAAAAUUGCCGGGUUCCGGCUCGGCUUUCAACGCGACCCCAGGUCAGGCGGGGUUACCCGCUGAAUUUAAGCAUAUCAAUAAGCGGAGGA
rnacentral:misc_RNA from 1 species